rnacentral:lncRNA from 1 species
GGAAAAAAUCUGAUCCCAUUAUCAUGAUUUACGAAUCAUGAAAAUUAUAAAUUGCUCUUGGGACGAAAUCAUGAUUCAGACUCAUGAUUUUUGAAGCUGAGCUACCACUAUCAUGAUUCAGAGCAACCAUUUUCAUGAGCUCCAAAUCAUGACCAUGAAAAGCGUUACGCACACGGUGCACCUGUCAAAACGUGUUUAGCAAAGCUUGUGCAAAGCAUAGUUGGCUGCGCAUUCACGGAAAAGUUGCCCUUUUUUUUAAAAAAAAAAGUUCACUUUUAUUGCCGGUUUCCUGCGCCGCUGUUGCUCUACUGUCGUUCCUGCUCUACUAUUCCGUUCCUGCUCCGUUGAUAUCGAGCUAUUCCGGCUCUGCAGAACUACCGCCGUUUCAUUCUGUUCCUUUCCUGCCGUGGCUGUUGCCCGUUCCGGCUCCGCAUUGAGGGAAAAUUCUUCCGGCUCCGCUCUACUAACUACCGCCGUUUUAUUGUCCCAGUGCCACCGUCGCCAUUCCCGCCGCGG